rnacentral:rRNA from 1 species
GACGAACGCUGGCGGCGUGCUUAACACAUGCAAGUCGAACGGAAAGGCCCUGCUUUUGUGGGGUGCUCGAGUGGCGAACGGGCGAGUAACACGUGAGUAACCUGCCCUUGACUUUGGGAUAACUUCAGGAAACUGGGGCUAAUACCGGAUAGGAGCUCCUGCUGCAUGGUGGGGGUUGGAAAGUUUCGGCGGUUGGGGAUGGACUCGCGGCUUAUCAGCUUGUUGGUGGGGUAGUGGCUUACCAAGGCUUUGACGGGUAGCCGGCCUGAGAGGGUGACCGGCCACAUGGGGACUGAGAUACGGCCCAGACUCCUACGGGAGGCAGCAGUGGGGAAUAUUGCACAAUGGGCGGAAGCCUGAUGCAGCAACGCCGCGUGCGGGAUGACGGCCUUCGGGUUGUAAACCGCUUUCGCCUGUGACGAAGCGUGAGUGACGGUAAUGGGUAAAGAAGCACCGGCUAACUACGU